GUCCGAUAAAACUCCAGCAUGUUAAUCUCUGCCUCAGAGUCACCUAACCUGCAACAUCCCUCGUAUCCUGCUGAGCAUGGGUUCAAGUGAUUCUGCCGUGAAGCAUUGCUUAGAAUCUGUCCUAGAUUUGUCUUCUAAACUCAGCACCAAAAGCUAUGUGAACUUGAGAACAUAUUUCACUCUACUCUCUUCUUGACUGCAUGGUUUCUGAAAAGAAGUCCAAUGUAAUUAUUUUUCUUGUUCUUCUGCAGGCCUCCAAGUGACAGCUUUGCAAAGAGGCAGCUGUGAGUUUCUGCGAUUCCCUGUGGAGGCUGGGGUUCUUGUGGAAGGUUAAUUCUAGAUCUUUCUCUUCCCACUCUGUCUCACUCUCUGACCAAGCAGUAUCCCCACAGCCUCUUGCUGCCAGCGUAUCCCUCCUUUGCUGUCUACAAGAUGGCUCAACUUGGCUCUUUUUUCCAUGAUAUCCAUCUGACCCACAGGAAACUCAUGCAGUAGCCAACAUUCUUUUUUUUUAAUCAUUUAUAAUGUAUUAUAUAAACCUAUAUACCUCAAAUGCUAUUGGAACCAGCAUAAUUAUCUUACUAGUUCCCUCAUGAAUUAAUGAAUUUAAUAACUUAUUUGAUAUGUUAAUAUAUUUUUACAAGAAUCGUGUCUUCAACUUUUUGGAAGUUAUACUUUGAAAAAUGUAAGUAACAGUAUUGUUACACAAACUCCUCUUAGCUCAUUAUAUUUUUAAGUCUCUUUAACGUCGUGGGUUUUUUUCAUUCUUUCUGCCUCAUUGUCUUUUCCACCACUGUAUUUCAUUUAAUUGAGUAUAUAUGGAGUAGAGUAACUUUUUAUUCUUUGUUGUUUCUUGGAUGCAACUUUAGAUUCACGUUCAUUUUUAUUUAAUGAAUGAAUGAAAUAAUGUAUAUUUCACUCUCUCAGGAAAUAAGGUAGAAUGUAUGUUGAGUUUAAUUCCGCCAAAUGGACUCAGAAUAUUUCAAAUGCAUUAUAACAGUUUUUUUAAUAUAUUUGAAAUAUUUUGGCAUAAAUACAUACAUUUUACUAAGUAAUAUUCUAAUUUUAUAAAUUCUCCAGAUGUCUGGGCACUAACGCAGCUAUCCGAAUAAAGUAAUAAUGUCCUUAAAUUAUGGAAACAUAUCUGCCAUAUUUCUUCCUACUUAGGCCAGAAACUUCAAGUUAUUGUAUUAACUCAGAAUUCAGACAAAGCUAAUGCAAAAACAACCAAAUAAAAAACAGCAAAGAAGCUUUAAAAAAUCACUUUUAUUAUAGUGCUUGAGGCUCCCAUUUGAAUGAUACAUUCUUCAGUUGAGUGUCAUUAUCACCUUAAUAUUCUAACGUCAUCAGUGAUUUUUCAUAUUCUGCAAAUUGCCUUUAACUUGUAGUAUUAAAAUUUUUAAAAAUGUUAAAAUCCAUGUAUUAACAAAGCUACAAUAGAAAACGAUUAAGUUAGAUAUUUCUUCUUAAUUUAAAGGAUAUUUAAAGGAGCUUAUUAAGUGAACAAAGGUCAGGAACUUGGAAACCUGUACUGAGGUCCACCUUAUGUUGUCCUAUAUCCCAUCUCUGGUUAGAUGUGCUGGCAGACUUCACCCAUUCACACCCCAAGACUGUUCUGGACAAGCAUAAUGGAGAACAGAAGGAAAUGUGUCUUUCUAUGAAUAGUCUUUCUGUGAAUGCAGGACUUAACACUGCUGGUUUGUUGCUCUCACUCUAUGUUUAUUAUUUAGAGGUUCUUCUAAAUUUGUAGUUAUUUGGUUUGUCCUUCUGAUUAUUUUGGUUUGGUUUGUUUAUGUCGGGAGCCUUUCCUUAAACUCCAACAUCUAGCCUCUAACUAGGCUCUGUUCCCUACCUCUUGGCAUCAAUUUCCAGUUCUCGAGGAAAGUGACUUUCACGGCCUUUAACUGAAACCAGCCCUAAACGGGGACUCUUGGUGGCUAUAACUUUUCUAGCCACUGCCUAGAAUAGCUGAGCUUUGAUAUCCUUAUUCCAUCCGAACCCGAUUCUGUACGUGGAGAGUUAUUUGCCUUGAUAUGCAUUCCAAGUCUACACCAUUGGAGGCAAUCUGUCAAAGUGUUGUCAUUGCAUUAGUGGGCGAAGGUUGUCUGCACCUCGGUUUAUCUUCAAAGAGUUUUCUUUAAGCACACCAUCAGCAAAAUAGAGGGAAAAACAGAUAAGAAGAAACAUAAGAAGAUUACAUAAUUUCUAUCAAUCAAAACCUAAUGUUUGUCUGCUGUUUGGUACUAAGUAUUGUCUCUGAAUGGAGACUCUGAUGCUUGGGCAAAUCUUGCUGAGCACCAAAAAACAUUUUUCAUAAAAAAAAAGGGAAGGAACACAUCAAUCUUGUAAAGAAUACCAAAACAUAAGGAGUUGAGACUGGAUUCAAAUUUUCAACUUGCCACUUCCCAGCUGUAUGACUUUGGACAAAUUAUUUACAUUUUCUGAGGCAGCAAAAAGGGUAUAAUACUUAUUCAUAUGCUUAUAAUGCAAAUUAAAUGUAAUAAUGUGUGUAACAUGACUAAAUGUUCAAUCAGUGAUAUACAAUAUUACGGUGCUUUUAUUACAUUAUGGCCUAAACCAAUCAUUUUUCAUAUUUCACUAACCCAGCAGCAUAGAAGGAGCAGCCCUGUCUCUAACAGCAAAGGCAGCCAUUCAGCAUGAGUAAUAGUGUUUCAUUCUGAAGAGACCCUCACGAGGAGACAAUACCAAAUGUCCCAUUUGCCAUAUCCCCAAAUAGCAACCUUGUGAGAAAAUAUGAAAGAGUCUUUUAUGACUAGCAUAUGGGAGUGACUGAUUUAUUUUUCAUCGGGGAGCAAGGAGUUCCAUGGAGGUAAAUUUUCUAAACAAAGAAGCAAAUUAUCAAGAAAAGUCAAUUUGUUUGUUCACCCAGGGCUGCUGUUUAGAAUAUCAUUUAUUGCACUGUUCAGUAACACUGCAGCAAACGCUUUUAGAUAGUGAUCCAACAAACAUACCUCAAUUCCUCUUUGACGCCAGAAUUUACUUUUUGUGAAUCUUGAUCACUUUAGAGUAAUUAUGACGGUCGUAUAUUCCUGGGAGGAGAUUAGUUUAAGAGUGUGUUUAUGGCCUAUUCUAGUCAAUGAAUGAAAGUCUGGCGAGGGUAGGGGCAUCUGGGAAAUUGUUCCUCGCUCCUAGCUAGGCUCUGACCAAAGCAAACGGGUCUUUCAGCCUCUGAACGUUCUCAAGUCUGGAUGUGAUUAAUUUUUAAAACUGUUACAGUGAAUUUGCAAAUAUGAAGGGAGUCAGGUCAAGGGCAAAGCUGAGACACUGAGGGUGGCAGAGCAGAGAGAUGAGCAUCUUGUGCUGAAACUUCUAGUUGCAUGCACAAUAUCCAUUCUUCCCUUCUUCCUUACUCACAGAACUUUAAUUUUGCUGGGGUCAUCAAUGUGGCAAACUAAAAAGUACACUUUCCAGCACUCCUUCCAGAUGGGAGACCGUGCUACAUCGUUGUGGCAAGAGAGAUGUGUGCAGAAGAAAUGUCAGCAGAGCUGGUUUAACAGACAGUGAUCGAAAAGAGUGGAUUUUUGCAUGAGACUUUCAGGAGCUACCAGGCUCCACACACCAGUUACAGGUCGUGGCAGAGCAGGGAAAGGCCUGAGAGAAACGUGGAAGACAGCACGCUUGAGGGAGCCUGGCAGUACGAUGAUGCUGCCCGCCGCAGCUCUGCUGAUGUCAGAGAAAAAAAUCAUGGCAGGGCCCAAUUCUGAUCCAGACCAGGACUCAGUUUAUUUUGAGCUAUCUUCUCCACACCAGUCUAUAUAUUAUGCUGCUAAAAGCCACGGUCCUCAUCCUCCGAGUGUUAGCUCUGCCCUUCACUUGAGAAGUCACGGACGUAUCCACGCCUUCUAAACCAAAUGAAGACUUCGUGGCUAUUCAAGAGACUAUAGAGCCCCCUGUGGGUGCAGAUAUAAUGAAGUGGAAAAAAAGUGGCUACCCUGGGUCCCAAAACUCUCUAAGUCUCAUUGUCGUCAUUUGUAAAAUGAAGGGAUUCAUGACUAGUUUCCACAAAGAUUUACAUAGACCCUGUAAUGCAAUCCUGGAACAAUCUGGAAAUAAGAAGAGUUGAUCCAGAAGUGCCUUGGGGAGAGGCCACACAUUCACAACAACUAAGUCCAAGGCAUACUGGGAAAUUCCAGGCCAGUGGUGGACGGGCCUUCUCAUUGACAGCCAUAACUUUCCUAUACAGUACUCUUCACCUCCAUCAGACUGCGGACCUGCGCCAAGCCCAUUGUCUGCGUACAAACCUCCAUGACAUUGUUUAGGCUGAGCACAGCCUGUCAUGUCCCCACUCUUGCCCAUGCAGGAUGAUGUGCUAUUUUUAUUUCAACACCUGGCUCAAAUUCAGCAGUUUCCCUCAGCCUUCCCUAUGACCUGGAUCAAAAUAUGUUAUAGCUCCCUUUAUGGUUCCCCAUCAUGUUGCUUCUAUUCCUGUUAGAGCUUGUAUUUUAUCCUGCCUUUAGAAUGUUUUUUUGCUUCCAUACCAAUUUCCUC
rnacentral:lncRNA from 1 species